UACGUAGGGUGCAAGCGUUGUCCGGAAUUAUUGGGCGUAAAGAGCUCGUAGGCGGUCUGUCACGUCGGCUGUGAAAACCCGAGGCUCAACCUCGGGCCUGCAGUCGAUACGGGCAAACUAGAGUACUGCAGGGGAGACUGGAAUUCCUGGUGUAGCAGUGAAAUGCGUAGAUAUCAAGCGGAACACCGGUGGCGAAGGCGAGUCCCUGGACAACACCUGACACUGAGGCACGAAAGCUAGGGGAGCAAACAGG
rnacentral:rRNA from 1 species